rnacentral:rRNA from 1 species
AUCGAACGCUGGCGGCAGGCCUAACACAUGCAAGUCGAGCGACCGGCGGACGGGUGAGUAAUGUAUGGGGACUGCCCGCUAGAGGGGGAUAACUACUGGAAACGGUAGCUAAUACCGCAUACUAUCGGAUAACCCAUAUGGGAUUAGCUAGUAGGUGAGGUAAUGGCUCACCUAGGCGACGAACCCUAGCUGGUCUGAGAGGAUGAUCAGCCACACUGGGACUAAGACACGGCCCAAACUCCUACGGAGGCAGCGGUGGGGAAUAUUGCACAAUGGGGACAAGCCUGAUGCAGACAUGCCGCGUGUAUGAGGAAGGCCCUAGGGUUGUAAAGUCCUUUCAGGGGGGCGGCGUUACCGGCAGAAGAAGCACCGGCUAACUCCGUGCCAGCAGCCGCGGUAAUUC